UGAGGAAUAUUGGUCAAUGGGCGAGAGCCUGAACCAGCCAAGUAGCGUGCAGGAUGACGGCCCUAUGGGUUGUAAACUGCUUUUAUAUGGGAAUAAAGUGAGGGACGUGUCCCUUAUUGCAUGUACCAUACGAAUAAGGACCGGCUAAUUCCGUGCCAGCAGCCGCGGUAAUACGGAAGGUCCAGGCGUUAUCCGGAUUUAUUGGGUUUAAAGGGAGCGUAGGCUGUUUGUUAAGCGUGUUGUGAAAUGUAAGAGCUCAACUUUUAGAUUGCAGCGCGAACUGGCAGACUUGAGUGCGCACAACGUAGGCGGAAUUCAUGGUGUAGCGGUGAAAUGCUUAGAUAUCAUGACGAACUCCGAUUGCGAAGGCAGCUUACUGGAGCGCAACUGACGCUAAAGCUCGAAGGUGCGGGUAUCGAACAGG
rnacentral:rRNA from 1 species